rfam:Solanum tuberosum cultivar DM 1-3 516 R44 scf00627_3, whole genome shotgun sequence.
CACCGCCCGUCGCUCCUACCGAUUGAAUGAUUCGGUGAAAUGUUCGGAUCGCGGCGAUGUGGACGGUUCGCUGCCCGCGAUGUCGCGAGAAGUCCAUUGAACCUUAUCAUUUAGAGGAAGGAGAAGUCGUAAUAAGGUUUCUGUAGGUGAACCUGCAGAAA